UGUAUGCUAUCUCUCUCUGAUAUUUCGUUCUCAAGCUCCAGUCAGGGUUCCGCUGCUCCCUUCUCUGUCACUAGGGCUACUUGCUAAGAUUUGAAUAGGUAUGCUAAAUCUGUCAACUACCUGUUACACAAGGGUUGUACAACACCAAUUCAUAGUCUCUAGAGAAGAAACCUCAAAAGCUUUUGUUUGGAUAUCUUUUUCUAAUAUACCGUCAUAGUUAUUUACAAACAGUCUCGUUACUAUCCAUUGCGUUGGCACCGGGUAAGCCAAUUGAUAUUGAUAAAGAAACCCAAGAGAAGUCAAGACCAAACACAACUAGGGUUGAAGUCGAACUGGAUUUAUUGGCUAAGCUGCCACAACAAAUGAAACUUCAAUUUCAACUUUUGUAAGCACCAAGGCCAUAAUAAAAGUGAAUGUCGAUUGCUAUUGAUAAAGAAUUCAACAAAAAAUCAAGAAGAAGCAUCGAAAAUUGGAACUUCUUUAGAUGCCAGGGACAUAUUAGAUGCAAAGCGAGCUGGUAAUGAAAUCAUACUAGUUGGUAAAUUUUGAGCAGCAUUCUAAUUUUGAAUAUUGUUGCUUCUACAUGUAUUAUGGAUGUGCAAAACGAGCUUACAGGAGAUGCAAUUUGUGUAUCAAAAUCUAGGAAUCAACAGGUGAUCGCCAAAGGUAUCAGUUGGCUACUAUUGCUGCUAAAAUGGGUGAAAAUGUAGGUGAAGAGCAUGCUAGGUUGACUGCUGCUGGUGUAAUUGAUCAAGCUUUAGUUGCGGCACGGUUUAUCAAAAAUUCUGGGCAACAAGUACAUCAAUUUAACAAUGUGACUGAAAGGAAAUUCGUACAGAAUUCAAAUUGGAUUUUGGUGACAAAGAAAAAGCCUCCAGGUGUUAGAAUUGGUUCACUAUUUCAUAACACAAUGCAACAAAUUGUAGGCAGUCAAACUACCAACUCAAGUGCUCGAGCAAUUGUUCCAAAGGAGGUUCCGUGUCUCUAAACUUUUGAUGCUCUUUCGGAUAAUAUUGUGUAGUGAGAUCAAUCCAACAACUUCUAAAAUGGUUAUUGCUAAUCAAGAAGUAAUUAAUACAUUAAAGGAAAAUCAGUUUGCUACUAUGAUUAAUUCCAUUCCAGAAAACAAUCUACCACUUGUGCAUUUAAAUGCCUUGGUACAGGAGAUUCCUCGCCAAUCAUUGGAAUCAUUGAGUGAUUAACAUAGAUAUUUGAGGCAGCAGCUAAUGUCUACAAGGAAUGACCAAAAUGUUGAGAAAGAUAUGUCCAGGCUGGAACUCUGAGGAAUAACUAUGGACACAUUUUUGCUAUGAUCACACGCCUGCGGAAGGAAGUUGAUCAUCCUUACCUUGUGAAGUUUUCUACCAUAGAAUCGGCUAUUACAGCAAAGAGGCUUGAGAUGUUGAACAAUCAUGUGACUUAUGUCAUGAUUCAGUAGUGAGUUUGUGAACCUGUACCCCCUCCCCC